GUUUUCUUCUAAACAGCAUGUUAGUGCAAAGCAUAAAUCAGCAGAAACGGGAAGACUUUGCAUCUCUGGUUCACUUGCUCCGUUCCUUCUGCAGCAUGAAGUGUGACCUCAAGAAGAAACUCUUACUUUUUUCAUUCAUGUUGUACUUGAUCCUUAACGUGAAGUCAACGCAUGAAGUCAAUGGUACAUCGGAAAAAAACAUUACUGUUAAAUUUACUUUACAAGACCCUGUUAUCAUCAAAAUCUCUGAUAAACCUAGUUUGUACAAAGAUAAGAACAAGAUAGGAAGUUGCAAACAAAUCAGCCCUUGUAAAGAAAAGUUUGCACUCAGUGAUGUGGAAAACUGUACUGUCACACUACACAUCACAAAUCUCACACUGGAAGAUGAAGGAACAUAUCAUGUUGCAGUGUAUUCGGAAGGUGCUAACCCUCUUAUUGAGAGCAAUAGAAUUUAUAUUAAAGUCACAUUAAGCAAUACAACAACAGAAACUACAACCACAGCUGUGCAUGAAAAUGUAGUGACUAAUUCACCUAAACUGGAGCUAUCGGAACAAAAACCAUUCUUCAUUUUCUUCAGUGCAUCAGUCAUAAUAUUUAUAUGUCUUUUUGUGGGCAUAUUGUGCUGGCUUUUUAGGACCCAUCCAAGAAAACCAGAUGCAGAAAACCCACCAGUUCACAGCAAGAGAUCCACACAACUGCAGGGGCAGUGUGGGACAUCCGGGGCUGUGUUUGUCAGCUGUGUGGAGUAUGGAGAGUUAGACUUUCAAAAUAGACCUGAAAGAGAUGACAGAGUAAAACUUGCCGAGGCGACAUCAAAGGCCCAGGAUGGAGUGGAAUAUGCUGCCAUCAUUUUCCAUCAGCAAAAACAGCCACCGAAUGGGCGGAUGAGAAAUAAACAGCAAGUACCUGCUAUUAAGUGAUAGUCAUAAAACUCAUAAAACCAUGUAUUGUCCACUAAAGUGAGUCUGUUUUAACGUUUUCUCAUGUAAACCUAAUAUAUACUAUUUGGGAGUUAUGGAGAGUGAGUAGAAAUCUUAAGACUUAUCAUUUUUGAUAAUAAUUACAUGAUCACAAUCUGCCACAUACUGUAAAUCAUCUUCUCACUGUUAACGAGUUCAAACUGAUACUGUAAACGUGCCACAGAGUUUAACACUGAGUCAUAGUGAGGUGCUAACCACAGAAGCCCCCAUAAAGAAACCUGAGGUACGUGAAUAUAUUUGUACAGUAUUAUGCAACCCAGGCUCAUUGGAAAGAACGUGCCUAGCCUGCAAAAUGAUAGCAUGUUGCAACAUUUCGCAACACUUUCCAAGUGAAAUGUCCAGUAAAUGGUGGUGCAAAAAAAAGGACGUUCAAUUCAGUCUAAAACAGAUGAACGUGAAUUUGGCAGCGUUUUGUUGAGUUGGUUGUUUAAUGUGAAUCGCAGCAGUCCGUGAAUUAAAUGUCUGGUGGGUGGCGCUAAAAGGUUAAUGCUCUACCGCAUUUGCAGUGCUGGGUAGAUUAUCAACUGAUUACAAAUUACAUGACAAAACUAGUAGUUAUAACUAUAGUGACAUAAUCCAUUACAUUACACAUUUUAUUUAAUAUAGGGCCAGAUUUACUAAACUGGGCAAAUCAGCAUGAGAGCGUAAUCCCAUAAAAGCGCAGAUGGGAAUUAGGGAGAAUCAACAAAUUAUGAAUUAUUUAUUGCUAUUGUGCGAAUAAUAUGUAAUCACGUAAUCAAUAAAAAGUAACCGUAAUCUGAUUAUGUAUAUUUCACAUGUAAUAUAAUCUAGUUACAAGUACUUAAAUUUUGGAAUCUGAUUACAUAAUCCAGAUUACAUGUAAUCAGUUACUACCCAUUACUGCACAUUUGAAAAUAUCGUACCGCUACACCUAACAAAGGCAAACAAUGAGUUAAAAAUGCAUUUGCUGAAGCAAGUGUGCUAUUUUAUGUUGCUACUACAAGUCUUAGAGCUCUUUUAAUGUGACUUGUACAUCACAGGACUUGUACCUGAGCAAGUGCAAUGCUGUACCGGGUGCGCUACUGAGCAAAUUUACUAUGUGACUUACACCAUACAUGUGGAGCUAAUUAAAAUAUGUGAUGCAAAUGCAUCGCAAAUUACAAUUCAUGCUCUAUGGUGAAAGUGUUUUAAGGUCAUAGUAUCACUAGUAAAACUGCGUGAAAAAUCUAUAAUCUGACCCUUUAAUCAUAAUUUGUGUGAAAACUGUCACACUAGGGACAUUUUACUGUCACUAGUGUUCAUUGCAACUGGAAACUGCAGCGAGGUGUAUGCAUAGGUAUGUUUGUGGAGUUGAGCAAAAAUAUAGAGGCACGUUUUUUCCAAUAAGCCCAUGUUGCAACCACAAGCAUAUUAUUUCUCAUCUGUGGUAUACACAAGAGUAAUACCUCAAUCUGUGGGGCUUAUGAGGAGAGGUUUGUGUGCUAUUACAUUUAUUAAAAAUAAGACUUACGAUUUGAUAAAACUGGCCAAAAAUCCCCAGCAUUCAUGGAGGGACCUGAGUCAUUUCCAGACCAGAGACUUGAGAGUGUGGCGGCGAGUUUUGCAUUCACAGACACCACUCACGUUUUCUUCAGAAAAUGUGAAGAUAAGUUUUGAUUUUGUCGUUCUCCUGUUAUCAUUUUCUUAUGCGCUACUAAAAUGCUUCUGUGUAUCCUAACACUAUGUAUCUUAAAAUGUAAGUCAGCAGUUUGUGUAUUAUGUAAAUUGUGUAUGCUGAUUAUUGCACUAUGUGUGUAAAUAUUGUACUUGAAUGAGUUCUGUACUACAUAUGAAUGUAUAGCCAAGAAGGAGUCUCAUAAAAUUAGUAAAAAUGUUAAACAAUGUUUAAAAAAUAUUGUAUGACACAGCCUGUCAUUUUUAAACACAUGCAUCCUGAUUUAACACUAAAAGCAACAGAUGCACUUUAC
rnacentral:lncRNA from 1 species